UACGUAGGGUGCAAGCGUUGUCCGGAAUUAUUGGGCGUAGAGAGCUCGUAGGCGGUCCGUCACGUCGGCUGUGAAAACCCGGGGCUCAACCCCGGGCCUGCAGUCGAUACGGGCGGACUAGAGUUCGGCAGGGGAGACUGGAAUUCCUGGUGUAGCGGUGAAAUGCGCAGAUAUCAGGAGGAACACCGGUGGCGAAGGCGGGUCUCUGGGCCGUAACUGACGCUGAGGAGCGAAAGCGUGGGGAGCGAACAGG
rnacentral:rRNA from 1 species